rnacentral:tRNA from 3 species
UAGGAAGUAAUAUAAAGGAAGUAUGAAGGGUUUUGAUUUCUUUUGUGUGGGUUCGAUUCCCACCUUUCUAA